rfam:Ascochyta rabiei strain ArDII scaffold_3, whole genome shotgun sequence.
UCUGGUCCAGUGAUGUAAAAUUUUCGGAUGUAAAUCAUUUAUACCACCGAGAGCGCAAAACCAUGUGGAUAUUUUCCGUUGCCUUCCUUCUGAGUACCUCAU